rnacentral:tRNA from 1 species
UCAACUAAAACCAAAAAGAGGUUUUUUAUUGUUAAUAAAAAUAUUGAAUUAAAAAAUUCUAGUUGAA